AUGCUCCUAAUGUUGUGUUAAGUGUUGGCAGAUAUCUGGACCCCGCCCUAGCGGUCCGGAACUUGAACCCCGGAACUUCCCCCUCCCCAUAAGAAGUCCGGGGUUUUUUUUGCCCGCGG
rnacentral:sRNA from 4 species